AGAGUUUGAUCCUGGCUCAGAAUGGACGCUGGCGGCGUGCCUAACACAUGCAAGUCGUACGAGAAAUCCCGAGCUUGCUUGGGAGAGUAAAGUGGCGCACGGGUGAGUAACGCGUGGGUAACCCACCUUCGAAUCUGGGAUAACUCCGCGAAAGCGGUGCUAAUACCGGAUAAGACCACAGCCGUUUCGGCGGCAGAGGUAAAAGCUGACCUCUCCAUGGAAGUUAGCGUUCGAGGACGGGCCCGCGUCCUAUCAGCUUGUUGGUGGGGUAAAAGCCUACCAAGGCAGCGACGGGUAGCUGGUCUGAGAGGAUGAUCAGCCACACUGGAACUGGAACACGGUCCAGACUCCUACGGGAGGCAGCAGUGAGGAAUUUUGCGCAAUGGGGGAAACCCUGACGCAGCAACGCCGCGUGGGUGAAGAAGGCUUUCGGGUCGUAAAGCCCUGUCAGGUGGGAAGAACCGUUUCGAUACUAAUAAUGUCGAAGCCUGACGGUACCACCAGAGGAAGCACCGGCCAACUCCGUGCCAGCAGCCGCGGUAAUACGGAGGGUGCAAGCGUUGUUCGGAAUUAUUGGGCGUAAAGAGCGUGUAGGCGGUUCGGUAAGUCAGAUGUGAAAGCCCUGGGCUCAACCCAGGAAGUGCAUUUGAAACUACCAGACUUGAGUACGGGAGAGGAGGGGGGAAUUCCCGGUGUAGAGGUGAAAUUCGUAGAUAUCGGGAGGAAUACCAGUGGCGAAGGCGCCCCUCUGGACCGAUACUGACGCUGAGACGCGAAAGCGUGGGGAGCAAACAGGAUUAGAUACCCUGGUAGUCCACGCCGUAAACGAUGAGCACUAGGUGUAGCGGGUAUUGACCCCUGCUGUGCCGUAGCUA
rnacentral:rRNA from 1 species